rnacentral:lncRNA from 1 species
UUUUCAUUUGAUUGGUGUGGUAGUGCUGGCUUAGCCUAGGGAUUUUGGUCUAUGUUAAGGUGCUUAUCAUCUUGUAACUUGUAACAACUAUGGGAUGGUGCGGCUGAUUCUUUUUGGUAUUCUGCUAGGCUCACUUACAUAGAGUGCCAUUUGGUUAUGGCCGAUGCUGUUACUUCACCUCCAGUUUCUUUUAACAUGUCUUUUUAUCUGGAGGGAGCUGUUACUUAUUGGAACUUUUGUGCUGAACAGUGUGCUCAUGGUGUAUUUAUAUAGGAAGUGUUCGAAGAUGGAGGAGGUCCAUGUCAUUCUUGAAACUUUUGAGUGUUUUGGGGUUGUCAUGAAGUUUUACUGGGGAUCUUCCUUUUAGUUCUGGGUUAACUGGCUGUAUCUGACUUGAUCUAUUUCUGGCUUGCUGUUUAUAUAGGUUCAGUUGCCAAUCUUGGUGGUAGGCUAACUUUAGCGAGGGAUUAAGUGCAAUGUUCUGGUGCCGACUGCUGUGCUGGAGUAGCAUUGGCAUGAUAUGUAUCACACCAUGCUCAGCACAUAUUGACAUAUAUUGGCUGGCACUUUGGAAAAUUAUUAGCUCAUUUGUCCCACUUCUCUCCUUUGUCGUUUUUCAUGCAUAUAUUCUCAUUCUUGUUUGUCUUUUAACUCUCCCAACUUCCUUUCAUCCUUCCAUUUCUCUCUCCAAAAAGCUUAGUGCCUACUUAAAUAUUCCUUCUUUCCUCCAUUUAUCCAGGUGCCUUUCUGUUAACUUGUGCAUGAAUUCAUUAAAACCUUUGUCUUUGCCCUUGUCAGCUGCUUCUUAGAUUCAGAUAACAUUGAUGUAGUAUUAGAUCAUGUUUUGAUCACCUACGAAGAAAUUGAUUUUCAGAAUAAAAGGAUUGACACUACAAGGUGGUCAUGAAGAUCCACUGCUUGUGCAAAGUGUUCUAGAAUCACGGCACUGAGCGAUAAAUUCUGUAGUUAGCUUUAAGAAUGUCAGAUUGAAAAUUGAAGCGGAAACUUGAAGCACUUGAAAAAUGAAAGUUGAAGGAAGAUUCACUCUUCCCCUUUUGGAAAAGGAAAUGCUAAAUGCUCCAUUAAUAUAUAUAUUUAUGUAUAUAUAUUAAUUUGUACAUUAUCAGUAACAGAGGGAAGAUUAAAUCUUUCAGAGAACAUUACUGAUUUAAGGGCUAGUUCUGCAGCUUGGUAUUUUCUCGGUUUCAAGUAAAUUUGCCUUAUUUUAUGGAUGGUAUUCUCGGUAUCGUUCUAACAUACUCCCUUUCUCACGAAGCAAAAACAGAUUCUUUGGUGGCAGUGGCACUUCCAGAAACCGGAUUCCCAUCCUUUUGAAAAUUGUUAUUGGAUAUCUAUUUCGUAAAUUCUUUUAGUAUGAUAUUUCUGGAGUGAUUUACUAUCUUUAAUCUAGUUUAAAUAUGAUACAAGUUUCCCAGUACUAGAAAGCAUUGAGACAUACAAAACUAAGAGAUACUAUACGAGAAGGUUAGAGAGCAAGCUGGAAGUGCUGGAGUACAUUCUCUAUAUUUAACAUCAAUGAUAGGAUUUGAAGAGGAACCUGCUUGAAGUGUUAGUGUUUUUUCCUCCAAAGCAAUCUCGUCGUAAGGGGUUCGAAUGUCAUCUUAAAAAUUUUUAGCAUUGCAGCUGACUAGCUUCCUGAAGUGGUUAUUUUGUUGUACAAAAGCAUAUAAGAAAAUCUGAAAGUUGUUCUCUUAUUCAUGGUGUAACACUUGUACUUUAUUCAGUUUUAAAUAUUUCUGAGUGCUAUAUGAAUGUUCCCAAAUUAAACAAAAGAGUAAAAUGUCAGGUCUCCUGUGCUAAAUUGGGUGUUGAAGAAGCCAAUAGCAAUGUUAAGUAGGAGCAAAUAUUUGUUAUGCGGAAGGCAGACUAGGCAAAAAUGAGUUUGAUUACUUGUCUGACUUACGAUGUAUUUUUCUGUCCACUUGAUGAAUCUUCUGAAGAGAUUUUUCUGCAUGAGAACCUCUAAUCCUUCAACUAUUCACCCUAUCCUGGGAAAUACUUCUCCAAAAUGUGCUUCAAUUUGACUGCUGGGAACUUUGUGACAGAGUUCUAGCAGGAUGGUUUUUCUGCUGUAUGCUGAUGAGACAUUGCUUUUUGAUGUGGCAAUAUGUCUUGGCAGAUGGUUAAUCUGCAAUACUAUGAUGGAUGUUUUCGAUGGAUCAUGUCGGCAAGCUGAGUUCUUCUCGGGAAAAUUGCUGGGAAGUCCCUACUCUUUCUUUCUUUUUUUUCUUUUUUGCUAAGGAAAAGGGAAAAGGGGGAGGAAGGGACAAGCCCACCCCCGCAUAGCAGUCCUCAUUGAGCCCUUCCCGCCAGAAGAAUGUUCAAUGCAGGCAGAAAUGACCGUAUAUUGGGCACCCCGGCCAGUUUUACUCAUACCCUUCCCACCCAUGGGCCUGGCUCGAUUAUCUCUGGGCUCCGGCACGAAUCCUUCGUAUGAGUACGUCACAUCCGGUACCACCGAGGCUACCAGCAAACCAAUAUGUCCUUUCAGACCCUGUGUCCGAGCAGGAAGCAUCCGGUCUCUACAAUUUAAUCGACGCCUGCGCGUUUCGAACUCGGAACCACUUGGUUGGAAGUAAGGCUAUGGUACCACUGAGCUACCACCUUAGUGGCUUCCUACUCUUUCUUUGCCCACAUUCUGUCUACACUGCUUUUACCCUCCGAAGAUAGGUUGCUAUAGAAAACUCCGUGCCACUAGCUAUGUACAAUCUACAGUUAUUUUCUUUCAUUUUUUUUUCUAAUAAAAAAAAAUCUUUUCUUUUCUAGUCUGCACUCUGCAGUCUGUUCAUGACCGUCAGCUUGCUUUUCUUUAGUUAGCAUAUAUCCUGGAUCACAUUGUCUAACAUUAGCUGAGAGUCCAAAUUGAAUUCUGGAGGAUUGGGACAAUAUUUUGAUUUUCUAACCGCUGGAAUAAGAAUCACUCAUUUCCAUGCUCACUUCAAAGACUAGCUUCCUCAAGCUAAAUAUACCCUAAGAAUGGGGGCAAUAUUUUGAUUUCCUAAGGAUAUGGAAUGAAAAUGAAACUCUCUCCAAUCAAAUAAUUGGAAUAAGAGCCAUUCAUUUCCAUUCUCAUUCCAGAAUCCGGCUUCCGCGAACUAAACAUACCCUAAGGAUUGGGGUAAUAUUUUGAUUUCCUGCAGAAUUGGAAUAGAAAUGAAACUCUCUCCAACCAAACAAUUGGAAUGAGAGCCACUCAUUUCCAUUUUCAUUCCAGAGUCUAGCUUCCUCAAACUAAAGAUGCCCCAAGGAUAGCCUUGUUGCCUCGACGGUGAGAUGAUAGACAGGGCACCAGGAGACGGAUUUUGGGAGGACCCAACCAAGCCCAAAAUAAGAGGUCCGCUGCCAAGAGGCCCAUCCAUCCUAGCCCACCGCCCCUCCACAAUAUCUGAUUCGAACAAAGUCAAACAUAUCCACGCAAGAACUGAGCCAGCGUGCGGCUUGAAGGCUCUCUCUCUCUCUCUCUCUNNNNNNNNNNNNNNNNNNNNUCUCUCUCUCUCUCUCUCUCUCUCUCUCUCUGCCUCUCCUUGUCCCUCUCGAAAUCAAUAAAAAAAGAAAAGAGGUCCAAAACUGUACUUCUAGACCCGGUCUUUGAACUUGGCUCGGAUGCAGAUGAAUGGAAGCAGCGAUCUACGGCAGCUUUCUAACAUUCAUGACGACUGUUUUUGUACUUAUAGAUAUAUAUUAAACGGUAAAUUACUUUUUCAUCUCUCUAAAGACCCUACUGUAACACGAGGUAGCAUGAGAGCCGGGCGGCGCAUAUGGAGCUUGGACGAUCAGAAAUGUUUUUAUCUUUUAUGCUUUAAUCAAAAACUUAAUUAUAUAAAUUAAUUAAAAAAAGGUGGUAAGAGGAGUACUGGUGCAGUUGAUUUCCCGAUCAGAAUGGAGUUACAUGAACUCGGUAGGUUUUUUCGGGUACCCCGAUGCAUUAUUCAUUAAAAAAAUAGACAUAUCAUCCUAGUGUAAAUAUAGCUGCAGGCAGCAGUAUAAAUGAUAUCCUGGAAUUCCAGAGGGAUCGCAAAAAUGAAGUUCUGCACCACAUAGCUGGCACGAAAGAAAAAUUUACCUUCCUUCCUACAAAUCCACAUUGGAGCAUCGAGCAUACAGAUGUUGUUGUGGUUCAAAUCUGGCCCGAGGGUGACCACACCGAUGGAGCCGAAGGAGCCGCCGGUGCUGGAAAGNNNNNNNNNNNNNNNNNNNNNNNNNNNNNNNNNNNNNNNNNNNNNNNNNNNNNNNNNNNNNNNNNNNNNNNNNNNNNNNNNNNNNNNNNNNNNNNNNNNNNNNNNNNNNNNNNNNNNNNNNNNNNNNNNNNNNNNNNNNNNNNNNNNNNNNNNNNNNNNNNNNNNNNNNNNNNNNNNNNNNNNNNNNNNNNNNNNNNNNNNNNNNNNNNNNNNNNNNNNNNNNNNNNNNNNNNNNNNNNNNNNNNNNNNNNNNNNNNNNNNNNNNNNNNNNNNNNNNNNNNNNNNNNNNNNNNNNNNNNNNNNNNNNNNNNNNNNNNNNNNNNNNNNNNNNNNNNNNNNNNNNNNNNNNNNNNNNNNNNNNNNNNNNNNNNNNNNNNNNNNNNNNNNNNNNNNNNNNNNNNNNNNNNNNNNNNNNNNNNNNNNNNNNNNNNNNNNNNNNNNNNNNNNNNNNNNNNNNNNNNNNNNNNNNNNNNNNNNNNNNNNNNNNNNNNNNNNNNNNNNNNNNNNNNNNNNNNNNNNNNNNNNNNNNNNNNNNNNNNNNNNNNNNNNNNNNNNNNNNNNNNNNNNNNNNNNNNNNNNNNNNNNNNNNNNNNNNNNNNNNNNNNNNNNNNNNNNNNNNNNNNNNNNNNNNNNNNNNNNNNNNNNNNNNNNNNNNNNNNNNNNNNNNNNNNNNNNNNNNNNNNNNNNNNNNNNNNNNNNNNNNNNNNNNNNNNNNNNNNNNNNNNNNNNNNNNNNNNNNNNNNNNNNNNNNNNNNNNNNNNNNNNNNNNNNNNNNNNNNNNNNNNNNNNNNNNNNNNNNNNNNNNNNNNNNNNNNNNNNNNNNNNNNNNNNNNNNNNNNNNNNNNNNNNNNNNNNNNNNNNNNNNNNNNNNNNNNNNNNNNNNNNNNNNNNNNNNNNNNNNNNNNNNNNNNNNNNNNNNNNNNNNNNNNNNNNNNNNNNNNNNNNNNNNNNNNNNNNNNNNNNNNNNNNNNNNNNNNNNNNNNNNNNNNNNAUAUAUAUAUAUAUAUAUAUAUAUAUAUAUAUAUAUAUAUGAUUCACAAAAAAAAAAAUGAGGGCAAGAACCCUCAAGAAAUUAAAAUAGUAGGGUCAUGGCUCUAGAUCUAUGUGGGAUUUCCGUUCCUUUUCAUUUUAAAAAAAUUAAAAUUUUAUUUAUCUUCUUCCAAUUUAAUUAUUUGAUAUUAUUUUUGCCGAUCUUAAAAUUUUGCUAAUUGCAUUCAAUUGAAAUUAGGCGGUCAAACUUUUUUUUGAAAGGCUAGGUGGAAGAGAAAGGACUACUACAUUUCACUUAGCGAGAGAACUUCAUUCAUCAGCAUCUUGUUGGCUAACAUCCAAUACGUAUAACCAUAAUGUUUUUUGGAUUAUGUGGUUCUAUAUGAUCAAACACUUAACCACCCAUUUUAAUAUUUAGCUUUCAUUAGUGCUAUAGGCACGUGGAAUUAUUGUCUAAUUAGAGAAGAAAUGGCAGGAAAAAUUGACAAAUUCGCCUGCAUUUUCUAAGUGGCUCAAAAAAUCAGCUUCUUUUUUUGUCUUAUAUGCAGAAAUAUUAGACAAUCAUGCAAGAUAAAUCAAAAGCCAAACUCGAGAAACCAGCACUGUUGAAAAUUCUCAAAAUAUGCCAAAAAAAAAUCUCAGAGUAAUAACAGUCGGAAGAGGUGGCCCAUAGACUGUCCCAUGAGUCAUGAUGUCAUCAUAACCAAGAUAUUUUAGUGUUACAUAUGAUUUUAUUAUGGGAGCUAGUGACAACCGUAAUAAGCUUUUAAUUUCAUUCCUUAUGAUCUCCAAGAUAUCAAAUAAAUUCAUCUACAUAUAGACUGCAAAUUAUAGACCGAAUAGUGUUGUAUAGAUGGAUUUCUACACCUACCUAUGAUAUUACUUGGAAAAAAAGUAGUAGAAGAAGAAAAAACUCUUUUCAUUUUAAUAUUAAAGAGUUUUUCAUAAAUAACGCUUCAGGGUGCUCAUUGUAGUCAGAAAAUCCACCAGACCCACAAUGACUAACUUGAUAACUCUACAAUUAACUGUCUUCAAAGCUUUCAAACUUUCAAGAGAUAAUGGAAGCCAAAGCAACGAACAGUAGAAGUUUCCGUUUUGCACUCUCUUUUCCGUCCUUCAUAGAUCCAAUUCUCUUAGACUGACCCAUAAGAAUCAACCGCUCUAAUGCUCUAUAUAUAUCCUCCCCUCCCACACGGCCUACUCUGCAUCCUUGAACCCAACAGCAUCAUUUCCAUUGUCUCUCUAUUCUUCCUUGGAGCUCAGGCAUCCCAUGGGUGAAGGCCCUCUCCACAUUGUUCUCUUCCCAUGGUUGGCCUUUGGCCACUUGAUACCAUUCCUCGAGCUCUCCAAGUCCCUGGCAAAAAGAGGUCACCACAUCUUCUUCAUUUCCACCCCAAGAAACAUCCAUAGGCUCCCAAACAUCCCUCUCCCUCUACUCCCUCUCAUAGAUUUCAUCUCCAUCCCCUUGCCGCCAUCCGAUGACCUACCUGAUCAUGAUGCUGAGGCCACCGCCGAUCUCCCCCCGCAUAAAGUUCCACACCUGAAGAAGGCAUUCGAUAAGCUCGACCAACCAGUUGCCGAGUUUCUCGAGCAAGCAUCUCCAAAACCCGACUGGAUCAUCUGCGACUUUGCUCCGUACUGGCUGCCGCCGAUCGCCUCGAAGCUGAACACCCCAUGCGCCUACUUCAACACGUUCCCAUCUUUCUCCAGUGCCUUCUCCGCCGCAUGGCAGAGGUCGCCAGAGCAACUCACCGCGACACCCGAAUGGAUCCCCUUCCCGACGAAGGUGGCCUAUCGUCUCCACGAGGCCCGCUCCUUCGCUAAGUUGGUGCACGACAGCGCCUCAGGGGUGUCGGAUGAGUAUCGCUUCAACUCGGUCGUCAGAUGUUGCGACCUGAUGGCCGUGCGAGGUUGCAUGGAGUUUGAUGGUGAAUGGCUGAACGUCCUUCCGGAGCUUUACGAGAAACCGAUCGUUCCGCUCGGCCUCCUUCCUCCGUCGGCUGAUGACAGACCUGAUGGCGAAAACACAAACGGAAUGGCAAACACCGGCCAUGGGAACGUCGUUAAGUGGCUGAACAAGCAGACUCCCGAGUCCGUCGUGUACGUUUCCUUAGGGAGUGAGGCGACGCUAAGCAACGAGCUCGUGCACGAGCUGGCCUUUGGGCUGGAACUCUCCGGCCUGCCCUUCCUCUGGGCUCUCAGGAGGAAGCGAGAAGAGGUAGAGUUGCUGCCGAAGGGAUUCGAGGACCGGAUCGCAGGCCGCGGGGUCAUUGCCAUGGGUUGGAUGCCUCAGCUGGAGAUCCUGGCAUGUUCGUCGGUCGGGGGUUUCUUCACACACUGCGGCUGGAGCUCCGUCGUCGAAGGCCUUGCGUUCGGGCAUCCACUCAUCCUCCUGCCCGUUUUCGGCGAUCAGGGGAUCAACGCUCGGGUGAUGGUGGAGAAGAAGCUUGGGUUGGAGGUGGAGAGGGAUGAGGAAACUGGUUCCUUUACGAGGGAAGCAGUGGCUAACGUGGUGAGGUCAGUGAUGGUGGAAGACGAGGGAAAGAAGCUCAGAGAAACAGCUAAACGAAUGAGGGAGGUCUUCAGCAACAAUGACAUCCAUGGCCGGUACGUGGAUGCUUUUGUUCAUUACCUGAGAGAUCAUGUGCGAUGCAGAUCAUUGACAGUGUAAUCAAUGGGUCCAUCCUUCGCCAUAGCCGUCUAAGGAUGUCCAGGCCUUUCCUCCGAGUUUCUGUGUAAGACUAGUAGUACUGGAUGCAUGUAAUAAAUAAAGGUUUCAUCAAAAGUUCAAGGUUAUUAUUAUGUUGGUCACUAGAAAAUGUAUUCUUGGUACUCCUAUUAGUGCAAUUUACUCAGAAACUUCAUGUUCCUAUGCAGAUAUUCAUUUCUCUAGUUUUAGUAUUCUACAAAGUCGAGCUAUAUGUGAUAAAACAAAGAGAAUGAACAUCAAGUGCCUCUUAAAUUAGAUCCCACAUCAUAGCCUGAAUAUUAAGUGAUACAUGAUAGUGUUUGCUGCCUGAAGGCAGGUUUAACAUACAAAAACAGGAUUACCCUUUCUUUUAUAUAUAAACAAAACAUUACAUGGAAUGAAUAAAUAAUAUAUAUGUGUUUCCCUACAAAAAAAAAAAAAGAGUACCCAGAAUUGGCACAAGUUGGGUUCCUCGAUGAAUUAUCAUAGCAUUUUGGCCUCGAAAACACGCCAACCAACCCUUCACAAAUCGUGCUAGAGAAAUCCGUUCUGUAGGUGCGUUAUGGAUAGGGAGAGAGCAGUGUUCUUAUCCCAUUUUCGAGGGCGGUGUUUAUUUUGUCCAGAUCCUGAACGGGCAGAGGAUCCGUGCUCUUCCUUCAAAUCCCAAAGAAGUAGUCCAUUCGUGCGGCUUCGUCCUUGUUUUAUAUGUUUGUCUUGAUCUUAGUCCCUUCAAACUUCAGCUACGUCUCCCUUCGUCCUUUUCUGACGGAGAUGGCGAUUCAACUUCCCACCGAAAAAAAAAACAGAAGCUUUGAACUGACGGAUUGGGUGGCGACCCAAUAUAUCCCCUGGCUAUAUCCCAACGAACAAAAAACGUAUUGGGGCGGGCACCAUGAUAGAUUAUAUAGGGCGGGAUUUUUUUUUAUCAUAUUUUUUGUAUGCCCAUCUUUUAAGCAGAAAUUUAAGAGUCAGAUAAAAAUAAAAUUUACACGCCGCACCCUCUUUCUUCCUCGUCAAGUGAUAUGCUUUCUGAUACAUAUUGUAAACCUUUCUAAUACACAUCCAGCAACAACCUAAUACAUAUUUUCAGAUAAAUCUAUACAUAGUUUCCAUAUUACAGGACUCAUCAGUACAAUAGUAUAUGGCUAGUUGAUGCACACCUAGUAAUAUAGUCAUCUAACAUCCCAAUUAAAGCUGAUGAUGGGCCGGGCUUGGACAUAGGAAUUGUCAAAUUUUACAUAGACCCAGCUCGAAGCCUGACUAAAAAUAAACAGUGUUUAGGCCCGAGGCCCAGCCCAUGAUCAACUCUAAUUCUAAUACGCAACUCUAGAUAAUCGAUAUACAGUUUUUAUAAUACACACUCAUCUUCUUUCUAUUAUAUAUUGUAAGUUUUUCUAAUGCACACCAGCAACAACCUAACACAUACCUUUAGGUAAAUUCAUAUAUAGUUUUCAGAACAUGGUAUUCACUAGUACACACUGCACAGUCAAAUUAUAUAUACCUAGUAAAAUAGUUAUCCAACAUUCCAAUACAUGCAUUUAUAUAAAUCGAUACAUAGUUUCCAAAAGGAUGAGAGAAAGGGACUCAGAAGGAGAAAGAAAACCUCAACGGUUGGAGACACAAUUUGAAGAGGAAGAGGAUUGAAGGAGAGGCUUGACGAGGAAGAAAGAGGAUACAGAUGGUCUUUUUUCGUGGAUAGUCUCUCUUAGCACAUGCAUUUUUUUUUCUUUUUCUGUAAGUUAGAGGACUUAUGGACUCCAUUAGUAGAAAUUCUCUUAUUCCUAUUUAACUUCUGGGUUUUUCUUUAAGAUAGGUGAAAAAGAUACUUUUUUAUUUCAGACCUCAAAAUGAUGGAAUUUGGGCUCAAUUGCUAGAGAGCUAUCCCCUAAAGAGUGUGGUAUCACGUCGUAAAUCUUGAAAGACUAUCUGAUUUAAAAAAUAUAUAUAUCUCAAUUGGAUGUUGUAUGACCAAGUUAUGACAUCCAAAAAUUUGGCCUAUAAUUUGGCUUUCCGAUGUGAAGGAUUUUGCUUCUAAACUCUAUCCAGUUCUACUCGUAGUGGCUAAAGUAGUUCGCAUUCAUUUGGAGAUCCUUCUAGAUCAUUGUUGGGCCAUUUUUCAAUUUGUGCAUGUCAUCCUUAAGAACGCCAUGCUUGUCUUCUUUGUGUCGUUCCACUUUUCUCGGGUGGCUGAUGUUCUUGAUAAUAACACUGCUGUUCAUGUUGAUAAUAACAUCGUUGCUAAUGUUCUUUUAAGUUCUAGUUCUUUCCCAACUGUUUCUGAAGUCGCAUCAUCCGUGACUGGGUUUUGGAUUCUUCUGUCAAACAAAAUUAUAAGUGUUUGACUCCCCAGGUUCUUUAAUGAUAUAUUAUAUUAUCUAAGGCUAGCUAGUUCGUCCAGAGGUCCUUGUCUCCUCUCCCCCCCAGCACCGACUGGUUCCCACUUUGUCUCAAGACUUCUCAAAAAAGAGGAAGACAGCACCCGGUUGUAUACAAAAUGAUGGAAGAAUACGUAUAGGAGAUGGUAAGCACUGAGUGUUAUUAUACCCCUUCCUUUUUCUAUCUAUGUUAAUGUAUGACAGGAUAAAGAAUAAUUUUCAGUUUCUCCAAGUUUUUUUAGCAGUGAAGUUUCUGUUUAAGUAUGCUAUCUUUUUGGUCGUGGCUAGAUAAAAACCCAGUUGAAUAAUCUUCCAAAUCACAGUGAUUUAAUGGCUUAGUUUAAUUCUAUAAACAUUUCCUCCAAGUUAAUAUCAGCUUUUUAAGUAAUAAUCAUUGUCCAUAUAAUGGCUUUAUCUCACUCACAAUGUAUUAUAUUGGAUAUUCUUAUUAUAACACUAAUUAUUUGUUAUGGGGCAAACUUAUUUUAUCAUACAUACAACAUAGUUGUGAUUAAUAAAUAAUAGGUAAUGGUGCUAUAUUGCUGUCGACAUGGUCUAAAAUUGCUGUUAUAACAUAUGAAUAUCAUCAUGAAUUAGUGAUUUGAAAACUUAUGGCUUCUUGGUUAUGACCCUAUUAUAAUAGGGUUAAGUACCGCUCUUGGACCCAACCUCUAAUUAAUUACACAUCAAAGAAGGUUUUGACCCUCUCUAAUUAAUGACACAUCAAGGAAGGUUUUGACCCUGUUUUGGUUAGACAGGGUCACAAUUCUUGUUUGAUGUGUAAUUAGCAGUAGGGUCCAAGAGUGGUACUUAACCAAUGCAAUAUUGAUGGUCCAGCCAACUUCAUCGAUGUAGAAUUAAAAUAAAGAAAGUAAACGUGUGUUGCCUUCGCUGUAACAACCUACGGGUCCUCGCAUAUUCUUUCUGUUCAAGACCUAACAUCCUAAUCAAGCUAAGGGUUAAAAUUUAAUUACAAGCACCAUGAUAAGCCUAUAGUUAGCCUCUAUUAACCAGUGUUGCAGUGUCUCCUAAUCCACAUAGGUAAUAGAUCGAGUUCACUCUGAUAUCAUUUGUCAUAACAUAGAAUCUCACCCAAAAUGACUAGCUGAAAGGUAUUUUUUGGGUUCUUUAGUCCUGUAUAAGUACCCAAAAUCUCUUCGGCGAAUAAUUAAUGUGGGACUAAACACACCCCGUAUAGAUCCUCACUUACGCUUUCACCCACCCGUCCCCACCACCGGUGCCUACCGAUCCACCACCAGAUGGUAGCACUCCACCAUCGAGAUAGAGCACCACCAAUCCAGAACAGAAAAUUGCAAAAUAUUACUUUUUUUAAAAAAAUAAAAAAUAAUGAGGCUGGUAAUAUGUAGGUAACGGUGCUGGCAGGGCCGGCCCAACGGCCGCCUAGGCCCGGCCCGAAGACGAGGAAUAGCUGGGUGCUUUUGUCGCCGGAGCAUCUGCAGGAGGAAUGUCAGUUUUUGUUCGAUUUUGCGUGAAAGAUCUGGUUUUUGUUCCUUUUCGGUCGAGUCCAGAUCGAAUGGGACGAUGAUGCCCAGUCGAUGGAUUUUGUGGUUUUGAAUGAUAGAUAGGAUGGGAGUAAUGAAAGCGUGUUAGGGAUUUCAGGUCCGGCGAGGAAGGGAGGAGGGGCGAGGGCGAUGGAUGCGGGAGAUUUGAGAAGAGUGAUGAGGAGCAUGGGCGUAGAUCUGUGGACGCUGAUCGAGACCGCGCUCGACGUCGCCGCCGCGGACUAUGGCAAGGAGCUCCGGGCGCGGCGAGACGGGAUCGUGGAGCGGCUCUACGCGGCGGGGCCAGGGGCGGCGGAUGGGUGCCGGAACUGCGCUCCCGGCGCCGCGGCGGAGCGGGCGGCGGCCGUCGGCCUGCCGACGGGGGGAGUGGAGGGGAAGGGGAGUAGUAGCCCCGCGGCCGGGAAGGGGGCGACGGCGGCGUCGCCUCUGUCGAUGAACGGAGAUGAGAAAGGAGAAGAGCGAGAAGGAGAAGACGAUGACCAUCCGAUCGACGACAAGACCAAAAUCUUGGCCAUUAAAGAGUUCCUGGAAGACCCCGAUCAGGUCCAUUUCCUUCCUUCUUCUCUGCAUUUUUUUUCUUUUAUUUCCUUUAAUAAUAAAAAGGUUAUUUUUGGAAUGAAUUUUUGUGUUGGUUCGCACAGAAGGAGGAUUCUUUGGUAAGCCUGCUGCAAAAUCUUGCAGACAUGGAGAUUACAUUCAAGAAUCUCAAGGUAAAGUCAAUUCUAAUUUUUCUUUUUAAAAAUUCUUGUUUUAUGUCUCAUACUUUUAUUAAAAUUUAGUUUUUAUUUCUUCUUCUCUGGAUUCAGGAAACAAAUAUAGGAAGGCAUGUGAACGGCUUUCGCAAGCAUCCGUCGCCAGAAGUACGGCAAUUGGUUUCAGGUUUGAAGUCGAUUCUGUCAUUCUCUCCCAAGAAGUCCAAAUUCUCAUCAGAAGAAAUAAUUGACCAAUGCCCUCACCUUCCUAUCGAGUUGAAGGCCACCCAGCUGGCUAAACCUUUUCUGCAUCAUGAUGACUUCAAGUCUCUCCACUAUGAAGUCUAUCAUCAGGUGGACAAAGGAGUCAUAGUUGCUGGAUGUAGCCACACCAUAUUGGGCGCUUCCAAGUUCCAAGAAGCAAUCUUUGCCUGCAAUUUUUGAGUUUCUUUCAGAGGUUGGACUUUUUUUAAUCAAAGAUUUAGGUUUCUGGGUUUUGUUGCACUUAUUAAAUUUUUUUAUCAAUUUAAAAAAAAAAAUUUAGCGAGUCCGCCUUGGCCCCAAAUGCAUUGGCCGCCUCUGCGUGCUGGCGGCUUGUUAACAACAAAAUACUCCGAAUACAGCUCAGAUAUCUUCUAAUUUUGUAUAAAGAUAAUAUAGAGGAGUCCAAGACCAAUCUUAUUUUAUUAGAUCAGAGAUUGUGAUUGUAUCUUUCGUGCAACGGAAGGAUUCACCUUUCCUCCUGCGAAUCCACCAUUGGAUCACCCACUGGUCACUUUGAGAUCUGUGCCGGUAGUGAGUGAUGGAGCCCGGAGCGCUUUGAUGUCCGUGCGGUGGGUGAUCCAACGGUUGAUUCGUUCGAAAGACACAACCCGGAUCCACGUCGGCCGUUUGCCGCUAUUUUUUUGGCCCAACAUUAGGAUAACAAGAAACAACGACGACCGAGAGAGAGAGAGAGCGAAAGCGCCGUGAACCACAUUAUAAACACACGUAUGCCCAGAGAGGGGGGGCGCGCGCGAGGGAGGGAGAGAGAGAGAGAUGGGAGGAGAAGAUGAGAGUCCUCUGUUUGAGACGAAGGGAGAAAAGGGAAGGAUUUGGUAUAAACUUUAUGCUUUCUCUGUGUUCGUUGGGUUGUGUUUAAUCUGGGUGUACAGAGCUAGCCACAUCCCAAAGCUUGGAGAAGAAGGGAGGUGGAUUUGGUUGGGGCUCUUUGGAGCUGAGCUCUGGUUCGGUUUCUACUGGGUUCUCAACCAAUCCGUGCGCUGGAAUCCAGUAUAUCGUCGCACCUUCAAAGAAAGGCUCUCCAAGAGGUAAGAGAAACGCUCUCUCUCUCUCUCUCUCUCUCUCUCUCGCUCUCGCUCUUACACACACAGACAAAGCUAGUAGAGACAACUGCACACGAUUAGGUUCGAGCACAUGGGUGGACGGUGGUGAAGGUUGGAAGAUAAAAAUAUUGGCAUGAAAACAACUUCACCGAUUUCCACGCCUCGUUUUGUCUUUUUGUCAAAGGGUGCAGUAAACUAUGACCGCCGUUUCCAACCUCCGCAAAGAGAAAAAUGAGAGAGAGAGAGAGAGAGAUUGAUUCAAAGUAAAAACGACAAGAAUUAAAAAUAAACAUUCAGCAAAGAAAAGAUCGAUGAAGCAGGCCCACCAGUCCAGCAAACUUCAAUCAUUGUAUUUGAGAGUCAACUCUCAAACAGUCAUUAACAUUGAACCUGAUAUUUUCAAAGGUAUCAGAAUGGCCAUUCUAACCUUAUAAAAUCCGUUUUUGCUUUUAUCUGAAAUUAUUUUUCUGUAUAUAUAUAUUUUUAAGAAUAAUGGUGGUUUUUUUAGCCAGACACCUCCUAUUUAGCCGUGGACAACAAAGAUUUAGGGUUGUUUACUAUUUUUUUUGAUUUUUGAUUUUUUUUAUUUAUCUCUAUAUCACUGAAAUAAUAUAUGAAGAUUGAUAUUGAAGAUAACAUUUGCAUAAAACUUUUGCUAUCUUUUUUUUUUAAAUCAAUUGAUUUAUACUGCCAAAACUUUAAAAGUUGUGCAAAAAAAUUGUAAAAAAUAAACGGGGUUUUACGGUACAUAUUGUUCACUCUAGUUCAUUUUUUUUCUUGGAUUUUGAAAACAAAAAUAGAAGACGGAAGUAAUACCAAAAGGGACCCUAGAGAAUUAGUGAUUUUAAAAACAUGACCUAUAUAUGUUCUCUUCUUUUAGAUUACGGAAAACACAAUUCUCAGGAGCUGGCAAAUAUCUUUUUCUUAAAUUCACUAUUGUAAGGAUUCUUUGUUGGUCCAAUACAAUACUAGGUAAAAGAUUUUGAUUUUUUCUGGUGUUGGAGUUUUCCGAAGAUUACCUACUAAUCAAGAUUUGAUUCCACUAAAGUUAGAAUCUUAUAAGUGUUAGUCGCUGUAAAGAUUCCACCUGAUUUUAUUUUGAGGGAUUUUUUUUUUAGGAGGGGGAUUCCAUCUAAUUUUCAGCACCUAGAAACACCAUAUAGAGAAGAAUUAGAUGACUGAACCUCUUCAAGAUGUUGCAUAACCUAUCUAUUUCCUCCCUUUAGAUGAAUUUGGAACUGUUUGAAAUCCUAAAUUGGUAACUGUGCGCAAGGGACUAGUUCAGACAUAAAAGCUUCUUUCUUAACUGCCAUCCCAAAUGGUACUGGAAUUUCUUAAUACACUAGCAGUUUUGAAAAUUGGAAGUUGUUCCAAUUAAGGUCCGCCGUACCGGUACCGGUUGGCGUACCGGUACCGGUUGGCGUACCGGUGGUGGCCCGGACCGGUACGAAACCGGUCCCGUAUCGGUCCGAACCGGUGGCGUACCGGUCCCAACCGGUUCCGUACCGGUUCCGUACCGGUUCUUCAACAAUAAACUACCGUCUUGUAUGGUGCAUCCCAACUUUUUGGACUUAAAGUUAUAAUAUUAAGUCUCUCUCUCUCAAAAAUCCUUGUAGCAGUUUCUAGCUACCAAAAAUCUUCAAGUCUUCGGGUGGUGCAUCUUCAAGAUCCACAAAAUUCUAGUGCAAGUGGAUCGCUCUAUGGAGCACAAAGCUCAAAGUCUGCUGCUAUUAAUAUAUGUGAUUUUAGUUUAGCAUGUCUACACAUGUCUAUGAAAAAUUAAAAGAAACCAUCUAGCUUUUGGCACCCUAAAUUUCAAGAGACAUGCAUCUUUCUUAAUUUGCACCCGAGCCUGCCAUUCUCUCUUGACAGUCUUUCACCAUCAACAUUUCUUGCCCACAAUAUAUCAAAGGUCCAAAGUCCCGUGCUCCGUAGGUUAAUUGUAGAUAUGGGAGGCAGUCGGGUCGGGUUGGACAAGAUAUGGGUCAAAUUGGAUGCAUAAUUUUUGUCAAUUCGAAUCAUUAAAUUGGUCAAAAAUUCAGAUCCAAAACUUGGCCAUUUAUUAAACAGAUAAUUUAACCCGAUUAUAACAAGUUGAAAUAAAUUAAACGGAUUAACCAGUUAACUAUUGCCACACUUGUUCAUACACCAAAUUCUCCGGCCCAUGACCUGUCACCUUUUUUGCAACCCUGCAGUAACCCAACAAGCUCAUCUCCAGUCAUUUAUCUUGCGAUUACGGCGGGCAUCGAAGUAAUAAGGGUUCUUGCUUCCAAGUUCUCAUCAUCCAUAUAUAGUUUGAGUUAUAUGGCUCUCCCACAUGUAGUGAUUUGUUCAUUCUUAGAUGCAAAUUAAUUGAGCCCAUUUUGUGAGCUUCCAAUCUGCACCUGUAACUCUAGAUGAUUGAAUUCCCAUCUAAACUGCAAACUCCACUCAGAUACGAGGAGCUAGGCCUUUAUUCCAAACAUUCAUUUUGUUCUUAAAAGGGCCAAAAUGAACAUCCUUAAUGAGUUCAUGCAAACAUAUUUAACAGUACGUAUAUUGUUUGAUCGAAAAAAGACAAUGUGAUCUUUCAUGGAAUAGAUACCAAGCCAAGUUGCCCAAUGUCGAUGAUUUCGUGUGCACGGCAGACCCAAUGAUAGAACCACCAGCUAUGGUGAUCAGCACUGUUCUUUCAGUCAUGGCAUACGAGUACCCGCCGGAGAAGCUUAGUGUCUACCUCUCUGAUGAUGCUGGGUCUGAGCUCACAUUCUAUGCUCUCCUAGAGGCGUCUCGCUUUGCAAAGUCUUGGAUACCCUUUUGCAAGAAGUUCAAGGUGGAGCCUAGAUCUCCAGAUGCUUAUUUUAAAGGAGAAUGUAUGUGCCCAAAAGAUGGCCUACAAGCUGUUGAAUGGGGAAAAAUAAAGGUAACAUGUCAUACUAGAGUCAUGUUUCAAUUAUUUGACUGCAUAUUAUUAAGACUGCUUGAUAUGUAUAUCCAGUAAUUUCUGUCCACUUGAACUCCUAUGUUGUCAUAGAGCCUGUACACAGAGAUGGAGAACCGAAUCAAUGAUGCCGUAAAAUUUGGGAAGGUUUCAGAAAAUAUUCGCAAACAGCAUAGAGGAUUUCUUGAGUGGAACAGGGCUACAACUUCUCGAGAUCACCAAGCUAUUCUCCAUGUAAGUUGGUUUGCUUGUGCUUAUUGGUGGAGGAUAUGACCAUAAUUCACCCAUAAAUGUAGAGCUUAUGUCUUAUAUAUAAUGUAGAAAAGCCAUCUUGUGCUAAGGCUUUUGAGUGAGCCAACUUGUACUAAGUUAAAAUGUAUACCUACAAUAUUCUUCAAUGAAUGCAUUCUGAUUUCUGAUCUAUAUUUGUUUAGAUUUUAAUUGAUGGGAGAGAUACGAAUGCUAUUGAUGAUGAAGGCUUUACACUGCCCACAUUGGUUUACAUGGCUCGUGAGAAGAGACCCUAUCGCCACCAUAAUUUCAAAGCUGGAGCUAUGAAUUCUCUGGUAAAAACUCCAUUUGGAUGCAUACCUAUAUUUAUUUUAAUGCUCCUAUAAAAUCUAUACUAUAUUAUCAAAUGAGAGAGAAAUAUAUCAUUUUGGAUUCAGUCUAUCAAAUUUGUUCUCUUUUCACAAAUGUCUAUAAACAAUACAAAUAUGAUGUAAGAUAUGUAAUGCAUGCAUACUAAUAUUUAUUUUUUAGUCUCUAUUUCUCAUCUAUAAAUUUUUUCCUAAAUAUUUCAAAUCAAUUGGACUUGCUCUAGUAUUUAAUAGUCAUAAUAAUAAUAAUAAUAAACUAUCUAUCUCUUAUGCAUAUCCCCAGCGAAUUGGAUUCUUUUCAAAAUUUAAAAACAAACAAAAGUAUUGAUAUUCAUAUCUAACCAACAUGUUUUUUCUCUCUAUUAUUCCUCCAUUUUUAUUUUCUUUUAAUGUUCAUUGCAUUUGUUCAUUUGCUAGUAAAUACUCAAAUCACCCUCCAUUCUCACCAAUUUUUUGCAUUCUUCAGGUAAGGGUUUCAUCAGAGAUUAGUAGUGGAGCAGUCAUGCUCAAUGUUGACUGCGAUAUGUAUUCGAGCAAUUCAGAAACUGUAAAAGAUGCAUUAUGUUUCCUUAUGGAUGAAGAGAAGGGCCAUGAGAUCGCAUAUGUGCAACUUCCACAGCUCUUCAAUAACAUAACCAAGAAUGACAUUUAUGGCAGUUCACCAAUGUGGGCUUGGAAGGUGGGUGGCAUCAACAAUAUAAGCUCCACGCCAAAAUCUUAUAAAAUUUCAUCUACAAAUUAUCAGUAAAUUUAGCAACACAAAUCUCUGACAAGCAACAUUACUGACUUCAACUAUAUAUAUGGUGUAAAAUCGGUCCACCGCUCGCGCGCGCGAGGGAGAGAGGAGGCAUGAUAGUUGUGAUGCUGUAANNNNNNNNNNNNNNNNNNNNNNNNNNNNNNNNNNNNNNNNNNNNNNNNNNNNNNNNNNNNNNNNNNNNNNNNAAGAUUGUUUAAAUUUCUAAAUCAUAAUAGAGAUUUCAAACUCUUACCUCACACUUUUUUCGGAUAUGAAGCAGGACUUUCAUGGUUUGGAUGGAUAUGGCGGGCCUCUGUACGUGGGAUCUGGUUGUUUCCACAGAAGAGAGAGUCUCUGUGGGAAACACUUCAAUGAAACUUGCAAAGCAGCACUUCGAGCGAAUGAGAGGAACAUGGAAGCUAGUGCAUCCACUUUGGAGGAGAGAGCAAAAAGUCUUAUUACCUGCACCUAUGAGGAUAACACUGAAUGGGGAAAAGAGGUCUCUCUGCCAUUCCAUCUUAGAUUAAUAUAUGUCGACAUGUCUAUUAGAACUUAUUUCUUUCUUUAUGCAUAUCCAUCUCUCAUUUCUUACGACCUCAGUGAACUUGGAUUUGUAGAUGGGUUUGAAGUAUGGAUGCCCGGUGGAGGAUGUGAUCACUGGCUUGGCAAUCAAAUGCAGGGGAUGGAAAUCCAUCUACUUCAAUCCUUCGAGAGCGGGUUUCUUAGGUGUUGCCCCUGUGACAUUGGCGCAGACGCUAGUGCAGCACAAGAGAUGGUCUGAGGGGGAUUUCCAGAUAUUCUUAUCCAAGUAUUGCCCCUUCCUCUAUGGGAAGGGGAAACUAAAGCUGGGCCUUCAAAUGGGAUACAGUAUAUAUUGCCUAUGGGCUCCUUGCUCCUUUCCAACACUGUACUACGUUAUCAUCCCCCCCUUCACCCUUCUGCAUGGCAUUUCCUUGUUUCCAAAAGUAAGAACCGUCUUCCUCUCUAUCUCUAUCUCCCUCUCUCUCAUGCAGAUUGUGUUACAUUUCUAAUGAACAGGCAUCUGGCAUAUGGUUCGUGCCAUUCUCAUAUGUGAUCGCUGCUACAACUAUGUUUAGUUUAUGGGAGGCAUUUUUGUUUGGAUGUACCAUGAAAAGGUGGUGGAACGAGCAGCGGAUGUAUUUGUUCAAGAGAUUGGCUUCUUACCCCUUCGCGUUCGUUGACACAAUCCUUCGGCAUCUGGGUCUUAACAAGUCUACAUUCAUCAUCACUGCGAAGGUGGCUGACGAAGAGGUCUCAAAGAGAUACAAGCAAGAGAUGAUGGAGUUCGGCUCGCCUUCUCCCAUGUUCACAAUCCUAGCGACGCUUGCGAUGCUCAACCUCGUCUGCCUCAUCGGUGGAGCCAAGAGGUUGGUGUUGGGUGAAGGAAUUGGUCUACUUGGCUCCAUGCUGCUGCAGUUUGUUCUCUGUGCAUCCGUCGUUCUCAUCAACAUGCCCGUCUACCAAGCAAUGUUCUUCCGUAAUGAUGGGGGACGCAUGCCAACCUCCGUCACAUUGACUUCGGUUGCUCUGGCCAUGUUAUUAGCUUACAUGGUUCCUGAGCAGUAUUUCAGGCUUCCAAGAGUUUAUGAAUGAGAGAAAAGAAAGGAACAGGAGGUUCUUUUUGAUUCAUGAAGUCAUGGCGCAUAAGAUGGAAAUCGGCUGCAGCAGAGGCAAGUUAUUGUAUUAUGAGAUCUCCAUGCUCUUCUAGCUAGCCUAAAUAUUGAAGCAUCAUCAUCAAGGGCUUAACAUGUUGAAUUGCUUCAUGCAAAGGCAACUUAAUAGUUGAAAACAUCUCUUUGUUAUAUCAAACUAAUGAUAUGUGAUUCAUCAUCUACCUAUAUAAUUACUGAUUCUCAUCAAAGCAUGCAUUCCAUCUCAUCAAUGGAGGAAGUCAUCAUGUGGUGAGCAAGCUACUUAUAUGCGCUUCGUCGUACUUUCAUGCUCUGCAUCGGUUUCGCACGAACAAGUUUAUAUUAGAAAGAAAUAAAAUUGCACUGUGGAUAGCUUAAAAGGCACAUUAUACUGAGUUCGACAUUUACAUAGUAAAAUUCCUGCACUAUCUCCAGCGCCACCUUCAACACAUUACCUGAAUGCCAAGCAUAUAUAAUGCAGUGAAUGAUAGAUCCAUCAAUAGAGAAUCAGAAAUGCAAAUAUCAUUUAUAAAAACUGAAAUUUUAUAGAAAACUUAGGAAACAUAAAAAUGAAAGAUCCCGGAUCAAGUUGCCUUUCGCGCAGAGAGGUAAAGAAAUUUUCACGUACAGGCUAUUGGAGAAAACAAACUUAAGCUAUGAGGCAGCGAGGAUGCAGUCUACAUGAUUUUUAAAAACCUAUUCCCACAUUCAUAAAUCUUAAAGCUCAUCAUUAAGUAAUCAAUUUUUCCAAGCACUUAAACCGGCAGAAAAAGGGUCGGAAAACUUGUGAUCUGAUAGUAAAUUAGCUAACUAAUUUAUCUCUAAAGCUUAGACUGAUAUGGAAUAGAUCGGUAACACUUACACAAGUCAAUUGUAUUAGCAGGUGAAUUAAUCGAAACGUAUGUAAGACCAAAUUGUUGCCCAAUUGCAUGCGGUUCAGCAUGAAAUGAACCGAUCUGCAACAUUGCUAAGAUCAACAAUUCCACAGGUUGCUUAGCCCAUUACAUUACCUUAACUUCUUUCCCCCCUACAUCUUCUCACUAGUUUUAUUUGUUGCAUCUUGUUACAUGUGAACCGUGCUGCCAGAAGACGUACUGGACUUGAACUCAAUUAAAAAAAAAAAAAAACUUUAACAUGAAUACUCUUUCAAAAAUUCAAAUUUACAUAGAUACCUUCUUAAUAUUUAUAUUUACUUCUGUACCUCAUAAAACACUGUUUUUGCACGGAUGCCUCUAACAUAACGGUUCUUCGAACACCGUAAAUAAAAACCAUAAUUAUUUUAAUUAAAAAUCAAAUAAAAUUUUAAAAUUAUUUUUUUUGUUUGUCAUCGUGACUGUCUCAUAAAUGUUUCUUUGUAUAUAUCUACGUAUUAAGGAUAUUUUAGUUAUUUUAAUUUAAAACCGUUAAUUUUUUAACGGUGUUAGAUGGUGUGGGUAUGCAAAAAUAAAAAUUAAAAAAAAAUAGAAUAGCAAAAUAAGUAUUUUAUGAGAGUGUACAUGUAAAUAUUAAUUUUAUAAGAAUAUUUAUGUAAAAUUGAAUAUUUAGAGGCAAAAAUUUUAUUAAAAAGAAUAUUCUUUAAUCAUCCAUUUAAUACCCCCUUUUAAUUAAUUAGUCAACCGGAUCACCGAACUUAAACGGUACCUGACGGCGGGCCCCGCGUGUCGGCGAACUCUUUCGGAAUUGGGGUGGAAGGAUGCAUCCACUAAUUUAAUAAAAGCUUUUGAUCCAUUAAACUAGAUUUUUUUUAUUGAAAACUUAAAAGCGAAUUUAAUAUUUAUUUCUUUAAUUAUUAUGUCCCCAAAGCUUCUCCCCUUCUCCCCACCCUUGCUUUGAAAAAUAAAAGGAGUGGAAAAAGAAAAGAAAAGAGCCGUUUGGGGAAGAAAUAACUCGGCUUUUCCUCCCUCCCAUUUAGAAGAGCAGAUCGAAAGGUAUUCACCAUUUUCUUUCGAGCAUUCUUUGCGCUUGUUUCUGAUUUAUUUUUUUCUUUAUAUCAGAAGAAUGGACCCUAAUUUUCGCUAAUGCUGGAUCUAGGAGUCGGGUUUUUUCUUUUUUUAUCUGGUGGGGAUCAAGAAUUGGUAUUUUGUUUUAUGUGUUCCGGUUGUUGGUCGUGGAUCGGGGAAUUUUAGAGCGUGUAGAUCCGAUGGAUUUAUAAAUUAGUGAAUUCUUUUAGCUGUUCUAGGAUUCUUUUAGGGUUUAUGAGAAAUGAAAGCGCUCUGAUGGCGUACAGAAGAGGUAACUAUGGCUCCGUUCGAUGGAAGUUCUUAAAUUAGUAAAUUCGUAUUUUUGGAUUUUUUUAAGCUUACAUUUUCUUUUUUUUUGGGAAAAAAAUCUGCUGAAUCUGGAAAUUUGGUAUGACGUGGUACGGAAAAAUGAGUUCCGUAGACCUAUGAUCAUUACAAUUUCAGGAUUGAAAAUGUUUUUUUUCUGGAAUGAGAUUAACUCAAGCAAGUUUGUUGUUUGUUCAAGUCCUUAUUGGCGAGAUCUUUAGUAUCAAAUUUCUAUUUCCCCCCCAAUUUUUUUGUUUCUUGCUGGUGCAGUCUUUUCUUGAUUUGUCGGAACUUCUAAAAAAUCUUCUUUUUUGACAAAAUGAGUUAGACAUUGAAUUAAUAAAUGCAAAGCGUUGAUUUUAAGUUUAUAUUGAUUUGAACAAUUUUUUAGCUAAACAACAGCUUGCAAGCAGGUCCCCGGCACCGAUUUCUAGCUUGUCUUUCUUUUUUGUGAUGUAUUUCAUGGGGGCUUCACUUGAUAACUGCUGCUAUAUCUUUGGCUCCAGCAAAAUGUGUUUGUUGUCUCUUCUGAUUUGAAUGCGGUCAUGUGCAGAUGGAAACAUGCUCUUUCAGCUCUCUACUUUUUGUAUUCUUGAGCCUUCUGUUGAGUGUGUGGUCAGCUGCUGGAAUUAGGUUUGUGAUAGACAGGGAAGAAUGUUUCUCUCAUUCAGUUCCCUACGAAGGAGAUACAGUUCUUGUGUCGUUCGUUGUGAUCAAAGCUGAAAGGUCGUGGCAUUAUGGUGAUGAGGGUGUUGAUUUUGUGGUAUGUCUUUGGCAUUCCUGGAGAAUUGGAAUUGAUACUCUAAUUGAUUUUAAAUUUUAAGUCUAUCGAACAUUCUUCCUUGUCAACAUCAUUUGGGCAUUAUAUUUGACUGACUCAAAAAAAGUCCAAUCUAACAUAAGAUUCAUGAUCAAUCUGGCUUUUUCUUUGAUAAAUACCCACUCGAUUUGUGUGGAGCAUCACCCAGUUGUUUAAUGGUCUUUUUUUUUGAAAAAAUUUCUGAAAAAAAUACAUGACUUGUUUUAUGUAUCUAUGCUUUUAAGAAUGACUUUUCCAGCUAAUAGAUUAUUCUUCAGGCUUCCUCUCUCAAAUGAAAACUGAGAAUCAUUUAAAUGUUCUUUGUUGAAUUUUGGGGGAAAUUAUAUUGUUAGCAGGAUCCCUAACGAGAGUAGCGUUGCUCUAAAAAGUGUUGCUUCUCCUUUCUGGCGAGGCCUGUUAGAGUUACAAUAUGUGUUUUCUGACUGCAUAGGGUUAUUGGCAAAAAUGAAUCAACAAUUUUUGGCUGGAUUUGGGCAAACAAGCUUUGAGCAUCCAGUUUCUGAAGCUCUUCGGGUUAGCAGAUAUUGAGAACAGUUUGGUGACUGAUGAGGAGUUUCUACAGAUGGUUUUAAGUAUAGAACAAGAUUCAGAUAUAUAAUUGCUGAGGAGGAAGAGUAAGAGAUGGAAUCUUCAGAGGAGCUUCUGCAUUUUUGCCUGUCAGAGGAGGAAGAUAAAUUUUUGUGGAAGUGGGGAAGAAAUGGAGAGUUCUUGUUAAGCUAUUUGUCUAAUUUUUUUGCACAAAGGAGAUAGUCUAGUACUCUAUGCUUCUGCUUUGUGGAAAUGCAAAGUACUGGAGAAGCUCAAGGUUUCCACUUGGCUGGUUUUAAACAAUUGUCUUUAUGGUAGGCAAUCAGAAAAUAGAACAUUGGUCGACUCUACAAGGAUGUUCACUGUGCGGCAGGCACGAUGAGAUGGUGAACCACCUGUUCCUGAAGUGUGGUUAUGUUCAAGCUAUUUGGAACCUUUUGGACAAGUUUGCUUAAGGAAAUUCCCUCAAAACCAACAGGUCACCAUGGGUUGCACAUAUUGAUAAAACCCAACUAUAGGCCCAUAGGAUAGUGUUGACUGUGGGGUUGACCAAGAGCUAUGGUUUGAGUGAUGAGGAAGGGUGCAUAGUUAACAUUAAGGAGAAGAAGAAAACAGACUGAAAAUAAAAGUGUAGCAAACAGCAUGUUCACGAGUGAUCAUGUUUUUUCUCAUUUUUCUUUUCUCUCACACUUUUGGCACCCACUUUAGAUCUCAUUUUUUUGGCUUUAUUUUGUGUUCAUUUCUUAAGAUAUAUAACAGAUAAGUGAAGCUUGGUCCAUCUAAAAUAAAUAAUGUAGAUAUACCUUCAUAUUACCUAACCACCAAAGCAAAGAGCAUUCAUCUUCAUAUCUGUGCCCCACAAGCAGUUGUCAAGGAGGUUUUUGAUAUCCCACUUCACCAUAAGUUUACUCUGGCCAUUUUCAAAGAAGAGUAACAUCACAUACACAUUCUUGCAACUCCAACAAUGGACCCAUCAAAUCAAAUAUGGAAGAUAUGGUUGGUAUAAAUCUAUCCACUUGAUCUUUUUUUUUUCUUUUUUCAUAAAACUAAAUGAUGGAUGGACCUAAUAUAGUCUAGAGUGUUAAGUGAUCAUUUCAGAUAUAUCCUGUCCAUGCAGUGAUACUCCCCACCUAUCUCCAUCUUGUCUGGCCUCUGGCCUUACCCAACCUUCUCAAUCAGUUUCAUCAUAGAACAUAGCAUGGGUUGAUGAAUUGUUUUUUCUGCAACUUAUGUCAUUUAGAAGGAGCAAAGAUAAAUAAAAGGGAAUAUGAUCAAUAUGUCUACUACAUAGUUUUAUAGCCUAGAACUCUGGGAAAUGCAUUCAUUGAAGAUUUAUGGGGAAGCAUCUAGGUGAAUAUCUACAUCUAUGCUUUGACCAGGUCAAAAUUUUUUCUUGUAAUGACACAUUGCGGUUCCACUCCUAAUGCUUCAGUAGUCAAUGGGGAAUGUAGUUUUAUCAUUAAUACUAAUUUAUGACAAUUGAAAAGAGAAUAUCUAGAGAACUUCUAGGCUGAAAGGAUUUUCCUACAGUUUUGACUUGUCGGAUUUUAGUAAAAUCCACUCACUUUAUGAAGGUAAUUUCUAUUUGAGAGCUAGUUUUAGUGUCAGUCUAUUACCUAUUCUUGGGUUUGUUUGGGGCUUGGUGUAUUUAAUCAAUUGUGCAAGACGGCAAGACCAAACAUUUUCCAAUCAAGAUGAUGCUUUUAAAUUUUAAUUCUUAACUUAACGAACUCGGCUAACCUUAUUGAAUGCCUAUUCCUUGUGUGAUUUUUUUUUGUGGGAGCCAUGAACCAGAAUACGCUAAAGUCAUUGAAUUCUUUUGGAAUUGCAUGGCAAUGUUGUUUGUUUGCAUGAUUUAACACACUCUACUCAUUGAUUAGUACACUUUCAUUUAUAUCCGUCUUCUGUUAAUCAUUGACACUAUCCAAAAAGAAGGGGCCCACAUAAUUAUUUGAUUAUGUACUGCUUUUAGUAAGUCCUUAAAUGAAAACAUAUGGCAACCGAAUUCUUUUGGAAUUGCAUGGCAAUGUUGUUUGUUUGCAUGAUUUAGUGCACUCCCCUCAUUGAUUAGUGCACUUUCCUUUAUAUCUGUCUUCUGUUAAUCAUUGACAUCAUCUGAAAGAAACGGGCGCAUGUAAUUAUCUGAUUAUCUACUGCUUUCAGUAAGUCCUUAAAUAAAAACAUAUGACAACCUGCAGUUCUAGCUUGCAAAUAGUUGGAGAAUGGCUUAUUUUUUAUAGUUGUGGUUCACUGUCCAUUUUCUUAUAUUAUCACUGACCUCACGAGUAUCUGAUGUUUUAUCAGGUGAAGGGCCCUCAUGGUGAUCAAAUCCACGAUGCUCGUGACAAGACAAGUGAAAAGUUUGAAUUCAUAGUCCAGCAAAAAGGUCUUCACCGUUUCUGUUUCACCAACAGGUCCCCUUACCAUGAAACCAUUGACUUUGAUAUACAUGUGGGCCAUUUCACACAUUUUGAUCAGCAUGCAAAAGAUGGUAAGCCUGCUUAUUCUCACUUUCAAUGUUUAUCAGUCAAAGCAUAUCUUUUUGUUAACAUCUUCGGAUUAUUUGCAGAGCAUUUUGCCCCUUUGUUGGAACAAAUUUCUAAGUUAGAAGAAGCUCUUUACAAUAUACAGUUUGAGCAACACUGGCUGGAGGCACAGACUGACCGCCAAGCACUUGGUAUACUCCUCCAUCCUUUUUAAUAUUCGCAUAAUUUAAUUUGCUGCUGACAUAAACUUGUGAGGAGACAGCCUAGUCAUUUUCUCUGCCUGAGUUAUUUAUCGAGUACUUUGUUCCUCCAUCCUUCCUUUUCUGGCUUGUUAUGAUAUUGUUAAUAAUAACCAAAGAAAUUGUAUUUUUUGACACAUUUCUAAAUUCUCCAACAACUGCAUGGCUAUAUGGAAGUUCUUACUUUGGCAUGCUCAUCUAGAAGAGUGGUCCCAAUUUAAUUUUAAAAAGUAUUUAUCUAGAUGAUUUCCGUGGCUGACAGUAUAUUUUUGCGACAAAUCUAGCUCAAAUCCUUUUAACUAUAAUCAAGUCUUUAUCUUUUCUACGGCGUUAGCACAGAAGUGUAGCUAUAAAUAAAUAUGAGACUAACCUAGUUGUAAUGCAAUUGCAGUGAACGAAGGGAUGAGCAGGAGGGCAAUGCACAAGGCACUUCUUGAAUCAGCAGCACUCAUUGGAGUUAGUAUGCUCCAAAUUUUCCUCCUCCGUCGCCUUUUUGAGCGGAAGCUUGGCAUGUCAAGGGUUUAGGCCUCUCAUCACUGCAGAGUAUUGCUAACCUCUCAAAGAACAGAUACUUGAACUUUUGAGGACCUUCACCAUAUUUGUACUUCCAUUCUUUAAAUUUUGUAUUGUGUUUUUUAAAGUUGCGAUGAAAACCUUUCUUGAUGGAAAAUUUUUAAACUAUUAUGGCUUUUUGUGUAUUAAGUAGUUUAUAUAUAGCAGAUCACAUCCAACACCAAUAUGGGAUCCCCAAUGUUUAAUUUAGAUCUAAUUGAAUUUGAGCGAAGAUGUAUUCUAAUGUACCCAAGUUAAUCUCUAAAUAUGAGUAUGCUAGUAUCCAAUUGGUAUUCUAAUUUACUGUCGGUGAGAAAAAGUUACACCAUGCUUUUAAUCUAGACCAGCCUCCCAUCCUUCUGGCAGUCAUAUUGGAAAGCCCCCAAGGAUAUUGCCUUCUCCAGCUAACUCUAAAAAAUCCAUCUCUCCAGACAGCCACCACAACCCUGUCGCUUCUAUGCUAUUCCUCCCCACCUUCUCUCCCAUUUGUCACCAGUCCUAACAUUCUUCCCCACUCUCUCCCAUUUGUCACCAAACCUAACAUUCUUUGGCAUACCAUUACCCCUAAACUAGCGAAAAUCAAAAAUAAUUCAAGCAAUUUGAUAGCAAUUUUGGUUUCGCACACGAGCACGAAUCUAGCAUUAGAAUAAAAUACUAAAAUCUAGUAAGAAAUUCAAGUUCACAAAAAUGUCUUCGCUCUAAAUUAGCAUAGAAUAUAUUAGACACUUUGAGCUUAGACUCUGCAUUGAAGGAUGUAAUAUUUCUUCAACAAAAAAAAGGAUAUAAAAUUUGUCUGCAUGAGUAAUCAACCAUGGGUGAGGCAAACAUAGAAACAAUAGAAGGCAUCAUCGGUCAUUAGCAUUUUUAAAAUAGUUCAACGGCACCUGUUUAUAAAAUAUUACAUUGUUACAGCUUGCUUUCCUGACAUGCCAAGUGUCAUCCAUGGAUGUGUAAACAGCGAUUUUGCUGGCUAUCAGAGCUGCCUCACCAUUUUGCACACAUAACAACAGAAAAAAAAAAAUCAACGUUUCUCAUCCAGCAGGAACAAGUGCAGCAGAAACAUCACUCAAGCUUAUUUGUAUUGAUGAUUUCCAACAUAAUUGAUAACAGCAGAAACACCAGUAAAAUGAUCAAAUAACAAGAAUAGGGAAACUCAGAUUCUGAUUAUAUCUCCAGUAUACAUUCAUAUAACUACAUACACAACAAGGCGAUUCCUUGCUCUCCCAUCCUCAGCCUGUGUCACUACUCUCACACCACCUCACCUUGACCAAACUACUCCAAAGAAAAAUCAAACAGAACCUGCUUCCUGAGCUAAGGCUUUGAUCCUUCAGAAAAUAUUGCAAAACCAACACAACCUUGAACAAUCAAGACUCUGCUGAACUAGCUUGAAUGCAGCAAAACCAUUUUUUCUGCAGAAUCAGAGGAGCUGAUGAAAAUAACAGAUGACUAGGAUAAAGACACAAAAUAGAAAAGCUUGGAUGUUGCAUCCGAUCUUACGAUUGUCAGUAUUCACAGACAAUCAAAGAUCAAAUGGCUUAAAACUGAAUGCAUCAUCUAGAAUACAAAAAAAGAACUUACAGCAUUCACAUUUGGCUUGGUAGCAUAAGGUCCAUGUUUAAAGGCUGUCUCCUCCUUUCCAGGAGAGUCUGGCCCUCGUGUGCUGCCACCAGUCUUCCUCUCAUCUCUGGCCUUAUUGAAGAUCACAGUGAAUCCCUCUGCAGAAGCAGGGUCAUUAACAUCCCACUCACCAAACUUUGGUAACGGCCGGCCCUUGUCCUGCUGGAAUCCAAAACACUAUUAUCAGCAACAAUGGAGAUGUUUUUAGAGGUGUGACAAGUGAAAAAAUUAUUUACAUUCAGUUUCUUUUCCAUCAAUAGAUAGCAGUAUCAAGAUAGAAGAACCUAAAUACUAAAACAGGUAGAUUUAGUACCCAUAGACAGAGUGAUGUUCUCUUCUAAUAAUGCAGCAUGCAGCCAAUUUCUUUAAAACAGAAUACUAGGCAUUGUAGAUUCUGUUAUAAGCAGUUGCAUGAAGGCCUUGAAUCUUCUGUAUAUGUUUUUAAGAUUGGAUGGACCAUCUUAGUCCCUAUUUGUGAUUCUUCCCAAAUCCCCUAGCUAUUCAGCUGCAAAACUUGUUUCCCUGAUUGUUUCUAUCCUCUUGUUACAUGAAUAACUGUCAUUCUAUUUACUUUUGAGACCUGUAUUGAAAUUUCUUUGAAUUGAUUCUUCCCUCUAUAUACAAAAUGUGAAUAAGAAAAGAGACAUAACAAUCUUGAUUCCUUUUAGGUCUAUUAUCUAGAGACCCAUGAUGAUGUUAAGAACUGCUUUUGAAGCACCAUCUGCCUUUAGUCACUUGUUGGCUUUGCCCCGGGUAUUUCCCAUGCUUCCAGCCCCUUCGUUUUUUUAUUAUGAAUUUACUGAGGCACCUAUGAUUGAUAGAGUAACAUCCAAGGAUGAAGGACCUGGUCCAUUCUGACGGUACUAGACCAGAUAGAGAUUAGGCCCAGGACUCUCCAGACCAGAAUUGUUGUAUCCUGACACUUGCAAAGGUUUAGCAUCCUGGAACACUAUUUUUCACAAUUUAUUUUUGUUUUUUUUAUUUUUUCUCUUUGUUCUUGUGUUUAAUGGUCACUAUAAUCGGUCCUGGAACUGUGCUGAUCUGCUACCGGCAUCAAAACCCUUAGUAACAUCCUUAUAAGAAAACCACCAUUUGAUCCACUUCUCAUUCUCCAGAUUUUUCAACUGAGUGUAUCAUCCAAACAUGGCAUAUACGGCCUGAACUGUCAGAGUCUUCAAUUUCAAAAACCAAAAGAUAGUACUUCCAAAUAAUAUAGUCUUCUGAAGUUAUAAUCAUAUAAGUACCCAGAAGACUGCUGUUUGACUGCAUAACAUUAGAAAAAAGAAAUCAAUUUAUAUGACCAAGGUUAUCAAACAGCCUACUAUCUUCAUACAUCUAGGAAACUUAUGUGGCUAGUCAGACAUAAAUUUAUUUGAAAAUUUACCAUAUGUAGGAAAUACUAAACAUAAUAGAUGAUAACUAUGAACCACAAUACCUUUGGCCUUUUCAUUUUCUAAUCAUAUAAUAUAAUUUUAUUAGUCUCUCUAAAGGAUAGAUGGAGAAUAUAGAUUAGAUCAGGAAGGGAAGUACAUUGAGAGGGCCCAGGUUUUGUGGUCUCUUCUAAACAGCUAGAGUGUUAUUCUAAGAUCUUGACAAUGGCUGUCUAUAUGACUCAUCAAGUGAGGGGAAAAAUAAUCAAGUGUCCAUCUAACAUUUGUGCUAUCAAAGUUGUGACGUUGUACGUAUGGAUGGCCAUGACAGAGAGUAUUUUGCCUACAGUUUAGCAUCAUCUGAAACCAUCCAGGCGACUCAAUAAUAGACUUAUCAUAUAACCCUGACAUUACAUAAUAACCCAGGUAGCUAGGCAACUUGGAACAAAGUCAACCAACCAUCCUUUCCAUCUUAUAUAAUCAGAUUGGAUAUUGUACUGUAUUUAAUCCACUAAUGUUUUAUUAUGCUUUAAAUCAUAGGCAAUGAACAUUCCUUUUUACAUGCUAUGCAACAGCACAGAAUACUUUCAAGAUAUAAUGUAAUUUGAAAAAUCUAUGCUUAACUCAUAAAUAAAACAUAACAGAAGUGAUGACAUAUACAUUACUGUUUUAGGUCAAAUGUUAAACAAUACUUGGCUUGUUUGGUCAUCCAACUUGCUAGAGGUUUGAGCCUAUAAUUUUUCAACACAACUAUGGGGGAACACAGAGUGAGAUACAUUAAAUUGCAGCACAAAGGCAAAAGAGAUUGUGAAGUGACAAACACACACAGAUAUAUGUACAUCAGAGUAUAUGUCAUCUUAUAUGAUCUACAGCAUCCAAGAUGCCUACGAACCAAAAAUCAAAUGAUUCGAAGAAACAUGUAAGUCAAUGCAGAGACUACCAGUAAAGUUUGGCUGCCUAGAUGCCACCCACCCGGAGCUCAGCACCCAAAAAUAAGAGGUAAUAUGGUAAAAGAAAAGCAUGGAUACUGGGAGAAAGGCAAAAACCCAGGAGAUAGAUGGCUAUGGUGCUACAAAGAAAAAAUAUUUGUUUUGACAUCCUAUGCGAAUAUAACAGCAGAGGUCGCCCUAAAAGCAACACUUUGUGGAUAAGGAUUCACAAAACUGACUCCAAAUAGUUGGAACAAGGCCUCAUGAUUACAGUAACAUCUUAAACCAUAAAGAUACAUUCAGCCCAUAUAUCCACAUAUACACCUAAAAAUCUUGCCUAUAGCCAAUUGUUUCUCCUACCAAAUAAAAGUAUCUUGUUAAAUCAGAAUGCUUACAUAAGAUGCAUAUAAAGUUAGGCAGGAACUCUUAAAGAAUAUACAUUAACCAAAAAUAACAAAAAAAUAAAAUGAGAGAACCAUAUUAGCUUCAAAAAAGUAAAGCAGACACUGCAUAACUAGAUUUGCAAUAGGAUCAGUUGCAAAUGAUGCAAAUCCACUCAUAUGUGACACAAUGAAGCAGACAGCUGCUUAGGUACAUAAACGGUAACAAAUGCUCAAGCAAAAACUACUUAACUGGUCCAACACCAGGCAGCUAUUAAGUGGCCACUUGAGAAUUUAUAUGGCCAUUGUUAAGAGUACUCGUAUGACACCUUGUGUCUAACCAUAUCAGCUUAUAUUAUUUAACACUUGAAUGAAUAAGAGUCAACAUAAAAUACUAGUUUUUUCCUAACAAGAUACUCAGAAAAAAAGACUGCGAUGGCAGCUUACAUCUCUAGCUAAUGUAAGCAGGACACUCCAAUUUUAGGGUAUCCAAGAGGGUCAUGUUUGUAUCCAAGUGCCCAGGAAGUGCCGACACUCCAAAUUUCCUCGAAACUGAAGUGUUCAAGUGCUGUUGAGCAACAUGGUAGAUAUAAGAUUGUAAAGAACUUUGACAAAUAGUUAAUAUCUGCAGGAGAUGGUUUACCAACAUAAAUCAAGCUAAUGAUUUGUAAGUAAUUUGGAUAAAUAGCAAUCCUGUGUUAUCCUCAAAACAAAAUCAGAAAAUGACAAACACCUUAAAAAAAAGUCACAGAUAGAAAAGACUUACCUACAUACACUUCCAAUAAAAAAGAAGAAAGGUUUAGUCUGGUUUCCAAAAUUAGCAUAGACAGAAGAAUAUCCUAAUUGGAAGUUAAAAUAUCUGGCAUAAACAUUCUCUUAUUUGCAUCCCAGGUCUUGAGCUAGAACCAAGAUUGAUAACUUAAGGGUCAACUUCCUCAAAUUGUGCCUUGAUCUAUUUGCAAUAUAAUCAAAACUCCAUAUAGGAUAAUUCUGCAUGCCAUCAUAACCAAAAGGUAAAUUUGUGAAAAUGGCACAAUUUUUUAGGCUCAAACACAAUCAUGGACUUAAGUCAGCCAAAUUCAAAUGGUAAUACAUGUAAGUCAAUAAAAUUAGAAACCUUUACAAUGUUCAUGCUCUAGAACUAGGAUAAUUUAUAACUUCUAGUCACAAAUAAUGUUAGACUUGUUAAUCUCCUUCCAAUUUGUCUCCUCCUCA